rnacentral:rRNA from 1 species
UAAAAAAUUUGGCGGUAUUUUAGUCUAUUCAGAGGAACCUGUUUUAUAAUCGAUAAUCCACGAUGGACCUUACUUAAAUUUGUAUAGUUUAUAUACCGUUGUUAUUAGAAUAUUUUAUAAGAAUGUUAAUUUUCAUAAUUUUAAAAAAGAAAAUAUAUCAGAUCAAGGUGUAGCUUAUAUUUAAGUAAAAAUGGGUUACAAUAAAUUUAUUUAUAUGAAUAUAAAUUUGAAAUUUUUAUUGAAAGUGGAUUUGAUAGUAAAAUUAUAUAGAUAAAUAAUUUGAUUAUAGCUCUAAAAUAUGUACACAUCGCCCGUCACUCUUAUUAUUAAGGUAAGAUAAGUCGUAACAUAGUAGAUGUACUGGAAAGUGUAUCUAGAAUUCAAUUUAAAGCUUAAUAAGUAAAGUAUUUCAUUUACAUUGAAAAGGUUUUUGUGCAAAUCAAUAUAAAUUGAUUUAAAUUUUAUUUAUUAAUUUUUUUUUAUUAAAAAAUAUUUUGUUAAAAAUAAUUAUAUAAUGUUAAGUUUUAGUAUUUUUUAAAGAAAAAAUAAAUUUAAUUAUAGUUUAAUAGUAUUGUUAAAGAAUAUUGAAAUAUUUUGAAAAAUUAUUAUUU